UACGUAGGGUGCGAGCGUUGUCCGGAAUUAUUGGGCGUAAAGGGCUCGUAGGCGGUUUGUCGCGUCGGGAGUGAAAACACACAGCUUAACUGUGUGCUUGCUUCCGAUACGGGCUGGCUAGAGGUAGGUAGGGGAGAACGGAAUUCCUGGUGUAGCGGUGAAAUGCGCAGAUAUCAGGAGGAACACCGGUGGCGAAGGCGGUUCUCUGGGCCUUACCUGACGCUGAGGAGCGAAAGCGUGGGGAGCGAACAGG
rnacentral:rRNA from 1 species